UUUAUUCUUUUCAGAGGAACUUGCCUCAUAAUCGAUAGUCCUCGUUAUAUCUUACUUAAUUUAUUUUAGUAUGUAUACCGCCGUUAUAAGUUUAUUUUUUUAGAAUUAAUUUACUUUAAAUUUUAUUAUAUUUUAUUUCAGGUCAAGGUGCAGCUUAUGUUUAAGUGAAGGUGAGUUACAAUAUUAUUUAAAUAAAUGGAUUUUUUUUUUAAAUUUUAAAUGAAAGUGGAUUUGAUAGUAAUUUUAUUGAUAGAGUUAUUAUGAUUUUGGCCCUAAAACAAGUACACAUCGCCCGUCGCU
rnacentral:rRNA from 1 species